AGUCUCAGGUGAAAACUCCCGGCUCAACCCGGGGAAUGCGCUUGAAACAGUGGGGCUCGAGUGUGGGAGAGGGGGGUGGAAUUCUCGGUGUGGCGGUGAAAAGUGUAGAGAUCUGGGGGAAAACCCGUGGGGAGGGGGGCGUCCUGGGCCCUAACUGACACUGAGGGGCGAAAGAGUGGGGAGCAAACAGGAUUUGAUACCCCGGUAGUCUCCGCCCUAAAAGAUGAGUGCUUGGUGUGGUGGUAUCCACCCCUCCGUGCCGCAGCUAAC
rnacentral:rRNA from 1 species